CGAGUAAGCAGGGCAGUCGCGGGAACACGUCCGCAAGGAGGUUCUCGAGGAAAGUCCGAGCUCCGCAGGGCAGGGUGCUGGGUAACGCCCAGUGGGGGUGACCCUAAGGCUAGUGCCACAGAAAACAUACCGCCUCCUGCCGGAGGCAAGGGUGCAACGGUGCGGUAAGAGCGCACCAGGGGCCGGGAGACCGGUUCGCUAGGUAAACCCCACCCGGAGCAAGACCAAAUAGGAGGGGGAUGAGGUUGCCCGCCGACUCCUCGGGUUUGGUCGCUGGAGGCGCCGGGCAACCGGCGUCCAAGAUAGAUGGCUGCCGAAAACAGAACUCGGCUUACCAGUUUGCUCGGGUU
rnacentral:RNase_P_RNA from 1 species